rnacentral:rRNA from 1 species
GAUGAACGCUGGCGGCGUGCCUAAUACAUGCAAGUCGAGCGAACGGACGAGAAGCUUGCUUCUCUGAUGUUAGCGGCGGACGGGUGAGUAACACGUGGAUAACCUACCUAUAAGACUGGGAUAACUUCGGGAAACCGGAGCUAAUACCGGAUAAUAUUUUGAACCGCAUGGUUCAAAAGUGAAAGACGGUCUUGCUGUCCCUUAUAGAUGGAUCCGCGCUGCAUUAGCUAGUUGAUAAGGUAACGGCUUACCAAGGCAACGAUGCAUAGCCGACCUGAGAGGGUGGUCGGCCACACUGGAACUGAGACACGGUCCAGACUCCUACGGGAGGCAGCAGUAGGGAAUCUUCCGCAAUGGGCGAAAGCCUGACGGAGCAACGCCGCGUGAGUGAUGAAGGUCUUCGGAUCGUAAAACUCUGUUAUUAGGGAAGAACAUAUGUGUAAGUAACUGUGCACAUCUUGACGGUACCUAAUCAGAAAGCCACGGCUAACUACGUG